CCUACGGGAGGCAGCAGUGAGGAAUCUUCCACAAUGGGCGAAAGCCUGAUGGAGCAACGCCGCGUGAAGGAUGAAGGCCUUCGGGUUGUAAACUUCUUUUAUGAGUGAAGAAUAUGACGGUAACUCAUGAAUAAGCACCGGCUAACUACGUGCCAGCAGCCGCGGUCAUACGUAGGGUGCGAGCAUUAUCCGGAGUGACUGGGCGUAAAGAGUUGCGUAGGCGGUUUAUUAAGUGAAUAGUGAAAUCUGGUGGCUCAACCAUACAGGCUAUUAUUCAAACUGGUAAACUCGAGAAUAGCAGAGGUAACUGGAAUUUCUAGUGUAGGAGUGAAAUCCGUAGAUAUUAGAAAGAACACCGAUGGCGUAGGCAGGUUACUGGGCUAUUUCUGACGCUAAGGCACGAAAGCGUGGGGAGCGAACCGGAUUAGAUACCCUUGUAGUC
rnacentral:rRNA from 1 species